UACCAGCACCCCGAGUGGUCGGGACGUUUAUUGGGCCUAAAGCAUCCGUAGCCGGUUCUACAAGCCUUCCGUUAAAUCCAACUGCUUAACAGGUGGGCUGCGGAAGGUACUAUAGAGCUAGGAGGCGGGAGAGGCAAGCGGUACUCGAUGGGUAGGGGUAAAAUCCGUUGAUCCAUUGAAGACCACCAGUGGCGAAGGCGGCUUGCCAGAACGCGCUCGACGGUGAGGGAUGAAAGCUGGGGGAGCAAACCGG
rnacentral:rRNA from 1 species